AUUGAACGCUGGCGGCAUGCUUUACACAUGCAAGUCGAACGGCAGCGGGGGCUUCGGCCUGCCGGCGAGUGGCGAACGGGUGAGUAAUGCAUCGGAACGUGCCCAGUCAUGGGGGAUAACUACGCGAAAGCGUAGCUAAUACCGCAUACGCCCUGAGGGGGAAAGCGGGGGAUCGCAAGACCUCGCGUGAUUGGAGCGGCCGAUGCCGGAUUAGCUAGUUGGUGGGGUAAAGGCCUACCAAGGCGACGAUCCGUAGCGGGUCUGAGAGGAUGAUCCGCCACACUGGGACUGAGACACGGCCCAGACUCCUACGGGAGGCAGCAGUGGGGAAUUUUGGACAAUGGGGGCAACCCUGAUCCAGCCAUGCCGCGUGAGUGAAGAAGG
rnacentral:rRNA from 1 species